UACAGAGGGUGCUAGCGUUGUUCGGAAUCAUUGGGCGUAAAGGGCGUGUAGGCGGUUUGUUAAGUCAUGUGUGAAAUCCCCCGGCUCAACCGAGGAAUUGCGCUUCAAACCGGCGUGCUUGAGGAAGAUAGAGGUGGGCGGAACUGAUGGUGGAGCGGUGAAAUGCGUUGAUAUCAUCAGGAACACCGGAGGCGAAAGCGGCCCACUGGGUCUUUUCUGACGCUGAGGGACGAAAGCUAGGGGAGCGAACGGG
rnacentral:rRNA from 1 species